AAAACGACUCUCGGCAACGGAUAUCUCGGCUCUCGCAUCGAUGAAGAACGCAGCAAAAUGCGAUACUUGGUGUGAAUUGCAGAAUCCCGUGAACCAUCGAGUUUUUGAACGCAAGUUGCGCCCGAAGCCUCCGUGCUGAGGGCACGUCUGCCUGGGCGUCACGC
rnacentral:rRNA from 1 species